UUCAAUUUGUAAAGGUAACAUUGAAGAAAACUAUUCCACUUUACAACUAAAUGCUGGCUUCAUAUCUUAAAGAUCUCUUGUAUUUCAACAAAAAGCGAUCAGUUUUAUCGUCACAGUUCUCCAAAAUUUCAAGGCAUUCAUUGCCAUUUCCAUAACUCCUAGUAUCAGGCAUGCCUUCAGGAUACAAAUUAGCUAAAUCCAUACAAGAACAGCCCGAACCCUCAGCAAAAACUGAAGGCCUUGGUUUCUCUUUUCCAACUCUGUAGUAUUUUAAAAGAUAGCGAAGAGGCUUUCUUCCUAUGUCAUUUUCUUGACAACAGCUGUCACUAAGACUAUUAUCCGAAGUAGAACCAGAAUUACAAGCCUUCAAGCCUUCCGAUGAUCUUUACAGCCAGAACGCCUUCUAGUAUAGCACAUCAACGGUGCAUUCAAAGAAGCUGAACUCUUCAAGCAACCCAUUCUGUAUCUUCUAGUAUAGCAAAUCAACGGUACAUCCAAACUACUCGAAUCCCUCAAAACAAUCUUCUUACUGUCACGCCUUCUCGAAUAACACGCUAUCGGCACAUCAAGUUCAUCAUCAGCAUCAGUUCAUUGUUCCAGAUUCCCCAUAAUUAUCAAAAUUAAAACCAUAAAUGUAACCCAAAUCGCCACAAUUGUAACCUCCACCCUACAAUUCAAGAUUUUUUUAAAACUCAAAUUCACCACACCCACAAAUUUGAAACCCAAAUUAAACCCAACUCUCGUUCAUAGAUCACGGCUCACUUCUUGAACGAAGACUCGGUGCGUGCAAUUAAGUAUCGC
rnacentral:lncRNA from 1 species